rnacentral:tRNA from 1 species
UCCCUGGUAGCUCAGACGGUAAAGCGUCUACCUACAAUGUGGGAGACCCAGGUUCGAUCCUUGGGUCGGGAA